rnacentral:misc_RNA from 1 species
CUUCGCGGUUCGACGUGUGUCAAUCUGUGGAAAUAUAAAGAGGAGCUUUUACAAGAACAAAAAAAUUUUAUUAGCUCGUGCUUCACCUAACAGAGAGAUAAGGACACGAGAACUAUGAAAGUCUUAAAAGUAUAACUUACACGUGAAAUACUCCAUAAGGCUGUCCAGUGAUCUGUAACAAGAUGGAAACCUGACAUCUGAACCUCAUUACCAUACUGCAUCUCGACUCUAACCUAUAUAUAAUGGAAUACUUCAGUAUUAAUCUGCUUGAUGACAAGUAUUGGUAUGUGUCAUCAUUAGAUUGUGAUGAUACUACAUUGCAUCAAGCUAUUGCCAGCAGAUGUAUGACAAACAAAUUGCUUGCAGCCCCGAUUCGUCUCUCAGCCCCCAAGGAAGCUUGUUUGUUGUUAUAAGAAGAUGCAAAUAGAGGAUGAUACAUCUGCUCAAUGUCACGAAUGCGGUAGGAAUAUCCUUAGAGCAGUUCCAAGUGCUACUAAGGAGCAGUAUUACGCCAAUGGAGGUCGCAAGAAGACCCCAUACAAAAGAAUAAAAUACUUUAGAGACUGGAUGAGUCACAUCCGAGGUUAUCACCCCGUCUACCUUGACAACGAAGUAAUGGAAAUGAUUGCGCUUGACUUAAAAGAACCAACCCCACAAAGCUUAAGGAAGACAUUGAAAAAAUUGAAGUUAGGGAAAUAUUACAAAGGUAUUCCCUACCUUUUGUCUGAAAUUACCGGUGAUUCUAUUCCGGAGGUUUCUGAUAUGAGCAGAGCUGAGUGGAUGUUUUGUAGGAUGGAUAAGGAUAUUCCUUAUUACCCCGACGCAAUUUACGAAAUAUUUCAGAAGAUUGACCCCGAACAUCCACUAUUAGCAUGGAUACCCAGACGUUGACGUAACAUGGAAUUGAAAUCCCAUUUGAUUCCUUUCGAAGCAAACGUUUAUUGAGCGAGCUUUCUUUGGAGCUCUUCCUUUGCUUCUUGGUAGAUCUUCCUUCGAGAUUCCUCGGAAAGAUCCCUUACGAUUGUUUUUUUGUUGCCCGACUUUAGUUCCUCAUACUUCUUUUCCUCUGCCAGGAUAAGCGAGAAUUCUACGUCGUCUAUCUUGCGGUCUCUUAAAGCCUUGGAUACCAAAUCAGUGAUGGUGUUAGCUUUUGCCCGGGAAAGAGCUAUAGUUGUGUCAUGCUUUGAUAUUUUGCUAGACAACUGUUUCAUAAUGCCCGUGGUAAUAGCGGAGACGAUACCACAAACUGCUCCAACGCUGGCCAAAGGAACGCCUACGACUACUCCAGGGCCAGUCAAAGAAGUAGCAACGCCGCUGCCCGUUAAAGCAACAGACAUAGACCCGGUUGUUAUUGCGAUCUUAUGUAGCGUACUCCGGGCUCUGGUGUAUUUCUUCCUAACUUCUUCAUAAUGUGUUGUUUGCCCUUCCAAGUAAGCCAGGAUUAAGUUUGCUUUGUUAAGCCUGAAGUUUUCAGCGUUUAAUUCGUUAGGUGUCGUAGUAUGGUAGUUCGGAAUAUCUGGGUACAUCUUAGGUGCCGAUGGUGUAACGUCCAUUAUAUACUAAUGUACGACGCUUUUGGGAAUGACAUCGAGGAGCAGCCACAUCAUGACAACAGGGACUACUGGAAUUGGAGAGCGUUUAGGAAGAUGUUUCCGCAUGCAGACGCUAGCAAGUUCGAGUGAAGACCCGAUGGGGUUUAUUACCAAGGCUCUAGGAUGUACAGCAAUGCAGACCUAAGUCCGAAGCAGCCUGUCGAACAUAAGCAGCAGCCCAACUUCCCAAAGAAUCUAUUAAUAACGACAGAGGAUUACCCAUUUUACGACGACAAAGGCGGCGCAAAUGACUUCGCGAAAAUGGUCACUUCUUUGGAGAUUCCCGUAGGCCCUACGACAUUCAAAACAAAGGUCAAAGAUAUCUUCAGAGAAAUCGCGAUAAAGCAUACGACAGGGAAAGAGGCUAGAGAAUGGCUAUCGAGCCCCGACAUGCGGUAUUGGCCGCAGCAGUUGAACUUCGGAGUCUGGGCUGCUACUAAAGGAUGUGGCAUAGCCGUGGAUAUGUUUCAUAUUCCCUUCUUACGGUUCCACGUUGCGUUUACCAUUCGCCGCAUAUUGAAGGAGCUGGGCGCGCCUUUACCAGGCGACAGCAUAUUCAAAGCGAAGGAUAACAAAUAUGACAAGGUCGCGUGGGAACGACUGAAGAACGAGUUCAAACUCUCCAACCCCGACUUCCGUAACAAAGAAGGCGCAGCACAUGGUUUAGGAGAAACUUACACCUAUGCUGGGGGGUGCUAGCAUUGAAACGCCGGGCAUGGGAUAUCCUAGCUCCUAUGAAUUCUCAGACUUAGGAGGCGAUGGGUCGAAGGGAACGCUAAUUUAUUUCAUAGAAAGUCUGCAGAAAUACCCAUGGGCGCCGUUCUUUGCCGUGAAGGGCAUAGGUCUGAAGAACCUUGCCCGUAUUAACCGCAGCAUAGAAGCAUUCGUCUACUGCAUCUUGGGAGCGCAGGUAAAUACCCGCAGCCCCAUUGUUGGUUCGCAUGGUGCCUCGCAAGAGACGCAGCAGGAAUUUCUAACCCUGUUUGAGUCGGCGAUAAUAGAGAACGACAUAUCCAAAUCGGUGCAAAAAGGGAGUACAGAAGUAAAAAAGCUCGGACUGAUUCGGCCAUGUUGAUCCAGGCACAAAUCCCGCCAAAAGUUCAAAACUGACGAAUUAAAUUACUGUUGUUGUUCGAUAACUCGUUUGUGCAUUUUAAUAAUGUGAACGUCGACAAAUCGUUAACUAGCUUUACUUGAAACGUGAUGACAGAUAAAAUGAACUUUAGCUAGCUAAAUUACGAUAGGUGUGAACGCACCCGGAAAGCAAGUUUAACUUUGAGUGUCAUAAGUAACAGCUUUUAACGAGCUGACGAAAGAAGUUUCAGUGUUGAGUAGUCUUUCCAGUUAGGCGUCCUGCUGGCCAACAGACAAAGGCUUCACACUUCUCCCACUUUUAAUCCCCCAAAAAUAUUCUAAACAUGCAGAUCUGAAUGCUCCCAAACGCAAUAAAAUUGGGCUUGCGGCUUGUUAUAACAUU